rnacentral:rRNA from 1 species
UAGAAGCGUAUAUUAAUUUUGUUGCAGUUAAAAAGCUCGUAGUUGGAUUUCUGGUGGGAGGGAUCGGUCCGCUUUAUAGUGGUACUUGUGUCUUCUCCGGCCAUCCUUGGGUGGAGGUUGUCUGGCAUUAAGUUGUCGGGCAGCGGAUGCCCAUCGUUUACUGUGAAAAAAUUAGAGUGUUCAAAGCAGGCUUAUGCCGUUGAAUAUAUUAGCAUGGAAUAAUAAGAUAGGACUUUGGUACUAUUUUGUUGGUUUGCGCACCGAAGUAAUGAUCAAUAGGGACAGUUGGGGGUAUUCGUAUUCAGUUGUCAGAGGUGAAAUUCUUAGAUUUACGGAAGACGAACUACUGCGAAAGCAUUUACCAAGGAUGUUUUCAUUAA